rnacentral:rRNA from 1 species
GACGAACGCUGGCGGCGUGCUUAACACAUGCAAGUCGAACGGAAAGGCCCUGCUUUUGUGGGGUGCUCGAGUGGCGAACGGGUGAGUAACACGUGAGUAACCUGCCCUUGACUUUGGGAUAACUUCAGGAAACUGGGGCUAAUACCGGAUAGGAGCUCCUGCUGCAUGGUGGGGGUUGGAAAGUUUCGGCGGUUGGGGAUGGACUCGCGGCGUAUCAGCUUGUUGGUGGGGUAGUGGAUUAGCAAGGCUUUGACGGGUAGCCGGCCUGAGAGGGUGACCGGACAAAUUGGGAUGGAGAUAAGGCCCAGACUACUACGGGAGGCAGCAGUGGGGAAGAGUGCACAAUGGGCUGAAGGCUGAUGCAGCAACGCAGCGUGCGGGAUGACGGCAUGCGGGUUGUAAUCUGCUGUCGCCUGUGACGAAGUGUGAGUGACGGUAAUGGGUAAAGAAGCACCGGCUAACUACGUG